rnacentral:sRNA from 1 species
UGCUUGCCAUGUCAGGCAAACAUUUGCAGUCUGUUGUGAAAGAAGUAUCAAAGUAUAUUGAAAAUGAAUUUUUCGCAAAUUUACAAUACUUUUGCCAUCGUCCUGGUCUUUGUUUUGGCCAUAUGCGCCACCCAAAUCGAAGCCAAGGGCAAGGGUAAAGGUAGAGGUGGCGGUAACAGUGGCCAUGCCUGGAGAGCAGGAGCCCAUGUAGCUGGAUCUGCUGUUCAAGGUGUUGCUGCCGAGGCAGUACGUCAAGCAGGCUAAAUUCUGUUUGCAGUUAAUAAGAUUUUGAAAUAAUGUUCAGAAUGUGGGACAUUAAAUAAAUAAAAUAAAUAUUUUAAUCAACAGA